GACGAACGCUGGCGGCGUGCUUAACACAUGCAAGUCGAACGGAAAGGUCCUGCUUUUGUGGGGUGCUCGAGUGGCGAACGGGUGAGUAACAUGUGAGUAACCUGCCCUUGACUUUGGGAUAACUUCAGGAAACUGGGGCUAAUACCGGAUAGGAGCUCUUGCUGCAUGGUGGGGGUUGGAAAGUUUCGGCGGUUGGGGAUGGACUCGCGGCUUAUCAGCUUGUUGGUGGGGUAGUGGCUUACCAAGGGUUUGACGGGUAGCCGGCCUGGGUGGGUGACCGGCCGCAUUGGGACUUGAGAUACGGCCCAGACUCCUACGGGAGGCAGCAGUGGGGAAUAUUGCACAAUGGGCGGAAGCCUGAUGCAGCAACGCCGCGUGCGGGAUGACGGCCUUCGGGUUGUAAUCCGAUUUCGCCUGUGACGAAGCGUGAGUGACGGUAAUGGGUAAAGAAGCACCGGCUAACUACGUG
rnacentral:rRNA from 1 species